rnacentral:rRNA from 1 species
CAUAGCGACUAUCGUGGCAUAUCAAUAAGCGGAGGAAAAGAAACUAACAAGGAUUCCCUUAGUAACGGCGAGUGAAGCGGGAAGAGCUCAAAUUUGAAAUCUUCAAGGUUUUACCUUGACGAAUUGUAGUUUAAAGAAGUGUUUUCUGUUGGAGUUUUGGUAAAAGUUCUUUGGAAUAGGACAUCAUAGAGGGUGAGAAUCCCGUAUUUGACCGUUACUUUCCAGCUGUGUGAUACACUUUCAAAGAGUCGGAUUGUUUGGGAAUGCAGUCCAAGAUGGGUGGUAAAUUUCAUCUAAAGCUAAAUAUUGGCGAGAGACCGAUAGCGAACAAGUACCGUGAGGGAAAGAUGGAAAGAACUUUGAAAAGAGAGUUAAACAGUACGUGAAAUUGUCAAAAGGGAAGCGUUUGACACCAGUGUUGUUUUCUCGAAAAUCAAUUAAAAAUGAUGGGAUUUUGUGUUGUAUUGACUUUAUCAGCUUUCUGCACUUUUUUCUUAUCUUUUUUAAUGCACUUUUCGUUUAACAAGUCAACAUCAAUUUCUUUUGUUGUAAAAGAGUCAUUGGAAGGUGGCUUUCUUUUCGGAGAAAGUGUUUAUAGCCUUUGAUCUCUGCAAUCGGAGAGACUGAGGUCUGCAGCGUAGACUCUUCGGGGUUAGAUACAUUUGUGCUAAGCUAUAGCCUUUUAUAGACAACUUGUUGACUAUGAUUAGUCAUUGUAGCUUACUCGCUUAUGCUAUUUUACCUACGCUUAGGAUGUUGAUAGUCACAGCGUGUAC